rnacentral:rRNA from 1 species
CAGUAGCCACGGUAAUACGUAGGGUGCGAGCGUUAAUCGGAAUUACUGGGCGUAAAGCGUGCGCAGGCGGUUCGUUAAGACAGAUGUGAAAUCCCCGGGCUUAACCUGGGAACUGCAUUUGUGACUGGCGAGCUAGAGUAUGGCAGAGGGGGGUAGAAUUCCACGUGUAGCAGUGAAAUGCGUAGAGAUGUGGAGGGAUACCGAUGGCGAAGGCAGCCCCCUGGGCCAAUACUGACGCUCAUGCACGAAAGCGUGGGGAGCAAACAGGAUUAGAUACCCGCGUAGUCCCUGUCUCUUAUAC